rnacentral:rRNA from 1 species
UACGUAGGGGGCAAGCGUUGUCCGGAUUUAUUGGGCGUAAAGAGCGUGUAGGCGGCCAUGUAGGUCCGUUGUGAAAACUCGAGGCUCAACCUCGAGACGCCGAUGGAAACCAUGUGGCUAGAGUCCGGAAGAGGAGAGUGGAAUUCCUGGUGUAGCGGUGAAAUGCGCAGAUAUCAGGAAGAACACCGGUGGCGAAGGCGGGUCUCUGGGCCGAUACUGACGCUGAGGAGCGAAAGCGUGGGGAGCGAACAGG